AACAUCUGAGGUCCUAGAUCCGGCGAUAGAUUGUCUAAAAAUACGGAUGUUGAUCGACUAUUCUUAUUGUUUUUUUUUAGAAUAUCCAUUAUAUGCUUAGUAUCUAUUUCUCUAUAAUCCUGAUUGUCUGAAUAAAAACCCUAAGUAACGCUUUCCAUAUCUGUCUUAGAACCCCAAUCAAUCAAUCGAACAAUUACUUGUUCACAACCC
rnacentral:lncRNA from 1 species